CUUAAGCCAGGCCUGAAAGAAUGCACAUCUGACAGCAGCCCCGAUCCGAUGCUCCCAAAUUGAAUGGCUCUCAGGAACUCUACCUCCUUGACCCCGAGAGUUAUUUUCAGAACACAAUGGAUGUUGAAUUCAUCUCUUCCUAUAAUAUGCGAUCCGAAUGUUGUUUUAACUUGCUUCCAGAGACUUUGCUUGCUAAAGUUAUAGUUUCUGCAAGCCUCAGAGUCUCCCAGGAUAAUGUGGGAGACUCAUCACUCCCAAGGUGUGAGAAACAAGUCCAGAAUGAACUUUAAUCAGUAUGACCUCUGAGGAAGAGUAGGAAAGAAGCUUGGAGAGGGACUCAUAGAAUCUCACAGCCUGAGUCUCCUGAGAAUGUGCAAGUCUGUUUGGAAGCCAGGCUAAUCCUACCUUUCAAUUAUAGAAGGAAACGGAUUUUUUAAAAGAAAGACUCAAGGUGGGUCCUCUGAGCUUGAAGAUCAAACGCUCUGGUGCUUUCAACAAGCCAACGCUACUGCCCUUCUCAAAGCGGAGGCCAGCCGGGACUGCAGGGUUUGUAAACAUCGCUCUGCUAUUUAUUGGAGCUGCCCACCCGAAUCCAAACCUUCGUCUCUUCACGCGUGGCCUAUUUACUGCACUGCAAGUGAGCGUGCUGCAGCCCGGCCCGGGUCUGCAAUUUAUUACUUGCUUCGAGAGCUCAGACCCAGAGUUUAAAUGUCCCUAGUUGAAAGUUUAUACCAGUCAGGACAGAAAAUUAUUCUCUCUGCCUAGGUUGAAGCACAUUACUUCUUUAUUGAAUUAAUUAUGAUAAGGAUCAUAACUUUAAACGAGGGGUGAGGUGCUGGCUCUCCGCUGGGAUUGCUUGGAGCAAUUUUCAUCCAAGCAUUUUUGUAGAGUUAUUGAGUCUGGCAGGUCUGAACUUUGGAGAGAAGUAACUUUCUCCAGAACUUGAAAGGGGUUGGACAUUGAUCCAGGCAAAGCUGUACCAGAUUCCAUGUCUUGAGACAGGGAAAUUUGCACUGCACGCUGAACAAAUCACCGCGGGAGCGGAUGAAAGACAGCUUAGCGGCUCCUCAUGUGGCCUGAAGCUUGGCCUUUCCCGGGCAGACCUGGCCCAGGGAGGGCAAGGGACAAACCGGGACAGAAAGGUCUCCAGCAAGUCCGUCCUCCCCUCCCUCCCAGACAUCCAGUCCCAGCCUGCACUGGCAGGGUUACAUGAGUGGCGUACUGGAUUCUGACAGGAUGGGAGAAGGAAGCUGAGGCAUGGAGGAAUCAAGUAGCCCACUGAAGGAGGCCCCAUAUAGGCUCCUGAAGCCGAGAGGAACGGGACCAAGCUUUGUCAGUGGACAUGGCCCUCCCUAUAACUCACCCUCCACACACUAGCCAAGUCACCAUUCAGACCAUAGAUUCAACACUGUGGGUGCCCUCAGGUCUGGAGAUUCAGUGAGAUCUGAACCCCAUCCUGAAAGGAUUCUGUCUGGAUGGUGGUCCAAACAGCCAACACUGCCCCCACCUUCACCUUCAAGAGCAAGAGGCAGUACUGGCUGCUAGGGAGGCAUCUUCAGUGUUGGGAGUGUUCUUGAGGCUCUGGCCUUAUGCAGAGAAACAAAACCUUUGAGAUCUGGUUCUGCAAGUCCAACACCAGUGGUACUUGGUUCACUGGAAGCAGCAUACAGGACUCCUGUGAGUAUCAACACCUGAGGGCUUUCCUGCCUGCCACUAAUUGUCACAUAUGUGACAUCUGCCCAAUGGGGCUUCUGUGGGAUCACUAAGAUAGCUUUCUUCUCUCCCACUACAUGGGUAACCAGACAGUAAGGCAUGGUUUCAGUAUACACAGUGAUGGACAGUAACAAUAGAUGCAUGUCUACAAUCCAGGAUUCCUGUGUCUCACUUGGAGUUCUAGUCCUCCAGUCACACAGGUGGUACCAUCCAUCCUUCCCACCUGCCCCAUGCCAUCCCAUUAUCCUGCUACAUUUUAUUGUUGCUUAUGAUCGAGGACCAUGCAUUUCCAUCAACCAUGAGCUCUUUGAGGUUAGAGACUGUGUCUCUAGAGAGCCAUCAAUAUGGUGUAAAGUCUAAGUCAGCCAUGGGAAGACAGGACAGAGCUGUAAUCCAAUGAAACAUCUUCUAAUGCUCACCUCCCCUCUCCUAGCAAGCCCACAACUGCAGUGGCUGAUCCGACGGCCACCAGCACACAACACAAUCCAUGACAUCUUUAGGCAAAGGAAAUUGAAACCAACUAGCUUGGUUGGCAACUUUUUUUUUUUCUUUUCUUUUCUAAAGCAUCCCUCUGAACACGAGCAGGCAAAGCAGUCGCUUUAGAACCUGGAGAGCUGGAAUGCAUUUAAGGUCUCUGAGGUUGUCCAACCGGAACCUGCAUAUACAGAGACCCCACCUCAUUCUUGGGAUCUGACAAGCUGAUUGAGACCCUACAGGAAGAGUAACUGGCUGGUGAUUGCAGAUAUCCAGUGUCAGCUCAUUGUUGGGGAGGAAGCUGUCAGAACAGACCUCCCUGGAGAGUCUGGGGCACUCUGGUUCUUAUUUUCCCUUUGGAGCUGGGAGGAUGGUGGGGGCAGCAUCAAGGGGUCAUCGCCCUUUUCCUCACGCAACUGGACGUUCAAAAUCAGAUAUCACCAGCCCAGGGGCUCUACUCCUUGAGGGCUCAGACCAGGGGAGCAGAAUCCACCUAAUGCUAUUUUCUCGAAAGUUCCCUUAAAAACAUAUUUUAAAUUGCAUUAUGAUUUGACAUUGAAUGUGAGACCUAUCUCUCACAGCAUUUAAAGACUGCACAAAGCAGGAUGUCUGGCUGUGGGUGGGAUGCUGAGCAACAGACUCUAGAACUUUCUCACCUUGCUUACUUCAACUUCAUGUUCGGCCGGCCUGGUUCUCUGCACCCUGGAAACAUUGCUCCCCUCCAGUCACCAGGAAUCUGACUACUCCAAGCACUUUGCACACUGUGGGUUCAAUGUGUCCCCCAAAUUUCAUGUAUUGAAAACUUAAUUCCAAUGUGAGGCAGGAAGCUUUCCAGGAAAACUCCUAAUAUCGUUG